GGCUAGAAUGAAUGGUUAGAUGAGAUACAAGCUAUUUUUAUUUUAUAUAUAAAUGAAUUUUAAUUUUUAGUAAAAAUGCUAAAAUAAAAAAAUUAGACGAGAAGACCCUAUAAAUCUUUAUUUUAUUUAUUUUUAUUAUAUUUGUAGAAUAUACAAUAUUUUAUUUUAAAUAAAAUUUUAUUGGGGUGAUAAUGAAAUUUAUAAAACUUUUAUUUUUUUAAAACAAUUAUUGUUGUAUUAAUGAUCCAUUAUUAAUGAUUAAAAAAUUAAGUUACUUUAGGGAUAACAGCGUAAUUAUUUUAAAGAGUUCUUAUCGAUAAAAUAGAUUGCGACCUCGAUGUUGAAUUAA
rnacentral:rRNA from 1 species